CAACACCACACUCCACUCACAGCCAACUCCCACACCCAACCGACUGCUCAUUUCCCUAUCUCAUUUCUUCUUAUUUUUUUCCUUUUUUUCUUUCCUUUCUCUUUUUUCCUACCCACACACUGCCACUCACGAGACCACUUGCACAACCCAUUUUUAUUUUUAUUUUCAUUUUCUUCCUCCAUUCCAACAUGCCCACAUCUUCCCUGAACAACCAUUGCC
rnacentral:lncRNA from 1 species